GGAGAUCUGGAAGAAAAGAGCAGCCAUACAGGGAGUCUGUCGUUUUCAUAGGUAGAUGAAAUGCUUGUCCGAGGUGGUGAGUUGGCGACUUGUAAGAGGUGAACAGUGGUCGGACUGCCCACCCUAACUGUGGUAGAAAGGCAGACGUGUGCUAAGAAAUGAGGUGUAAACAAAGCGAGGAGGGUGACAGCGGCACAGGAGUGAUUAAGAGUGUUCGUAAGCUGCUGCAGGAAGAUGCCUGAUGGAGGGAGAUGGAAGACGAUGGUGGACCACGGAGGAUACAUGAGCAGUGUUGAAGUAACCAGUGGCAUUGGAAGGCAGACCCCACUAAACUGAAAGGUGGAGUAGAAAUGCAUGAGUGUUAACACACAAUGCCAGAAAAAUGCUGCUGCUGUCCAUCUGGAACAACUGCUUCUGUCUCAGCAAGAGCCCCAGCUGGCUGAAUUAACUGCCAGUUCCAAGGCUUACUCUACUGAUGGGAUGGUGGUGAGUGAGGCCAAGGCCACUGUCUGGGUUGAAGAAGCUUGGAUGUGGACUAGCAGAACAAUUCAUCUUCUUGCUGGCAACUUUGUAGGAGAAUUGGCAGACCAGACUGCUGCACAGUGGCCCAAGGCAAAGCACUGGCUUGCAAUCAGAAGAGGUCUAGUAAAUGCUGACAAGUGCUCUGUCUAGAGGAAAUGUGGCUUCCUGUAGCUCUGAGAGACCUGCAGACUUUUCUGGUCCUGGCCUUGGAAGAUGUGUGCCUUUGGCUGCAGAAGAGCCAAAAAACCUACAAGACCUCCACUCCAAGAGGGAAUGUCCAAAACCAAAAUAGAGGCCACCCAACACACCCUGACUGUACAGUAAAUAGGCAGUCUCUCCAAUAUCUCCAAUAAGAAGGUGAACCUAGAGCAGAAAGAGACUCAGUGGUCUGGUCAGGAUCUCAGUCAGAUGAGUGUGAACCAAAAGGCUUCUCAGUGCCAGUGACUCUGAGAGCUCUGCCAGAUUUCACCACAUGUGAGUCAGAGAUAGACAGAGAACUGGCAGGUUGUUCCAUUUUCCCUCCUGAGGUGGACAGCAAGUUGGCAAAUGCUGCACCCCAAGGUUCAAAGAAAGAGCUAGCCCAAAGUGGCGAGAGGCUCAGAGGGCUGCUCAGCAUUGAGGCCAAAAGGGAAAAUCUACAGGAUUCACAGCACAAAAAUAAAAGAGAAAAAUGAGUUUUUUGCUGCUGAUACAGGAUAGCAAGAGCUGCUGAAUGUUACAUCAUCUAAUCUGGGUGAUGGGAGUGAGACAAGCAUCUGGUGUGCCUCCCUUCAAUCCAAACAGAAGAGAAGAGCAAUUCCAUAGCAAAGCACUAAGCUCUUAGGUCCCCUGGUGGCUCAGCCAAAGAAACUGAAUAAUGGAAAAAAAAAGAAUUUUACAGAAUCAGAUGAUAUGCAGCAAUCCAUGGAGCAAGAGAAGGGGUGCUUGCUGUAAGCUUUCUUACCAGGACAAUUCUAAAUCCCCGGAAAUGAUAUAAAAGCACCUACUUGUAGAGGGCAGUGCUCUUAUAUUACUUCAGGAUAGUGAGCUAGGCAGCAGGUAUGUUUUGCAGAGACCUUGUCCAAACCAUGGAACUGGGCAGAAGCUGUGUCAUGGAAAGAAAUUCUUGGUUCCUGCAAGCAAGGAUAGAAUCUAAGAGUAACUCUCUAUUCAGGAGUUUCCUGCAGCUCCAAAGCCCUCAUUCAGCUCCUCUGGGGCUGUUCAUAGCAUAUGCAGGACUAGUAAAGACAUUUCAGGCACCUGUGUAAGCCAUGUUAGUCAGUUUUACUGGGGAAGAUAGCACUGUGACUGUUUUUCUCACCCAAGACAGGAGACCAUAGCUUGUUCUGAACCAGGGCUGCACCAUGGACAAUGGACAUUUAGAGUGUCCUCAGAGAGGACAGUGUAGCGAUGGUAUACAGCAAUCCUCAGUUCUUGUGGAAGAUUUUCUAUGGCAUUUAAUUCCGUACUUUCAAUAUGCCACUCAGGGCCUUCUGUCUUGUUCUUUUUAAGCCACUCAAAGGGCUUUGCGUUUGGGGUCAUUGUCCUCUUGAAAUAUGAAUAAUUAUUUUGCAGACUGUUCCAGGUUUUGUUCAAGGUUCUGCCUAUAGUUUGCUUCAUCCAUUCUGCCCUUUAUUUGACAAGCCUACUAGUCCCUAUCAAUGAAAAGCAAAAGCACCCACAGAAUUGUAUGCUGCCUUCACCAUGGCUUCAUGGUGUUUUUUGGGGUAAUGAGAAGCGCUCUUCUUCUACCAGAUACUGUAUAUUACUAAACAUUAAGGCCAAAUAACUCUGGUAUCACCAGACCACAGAUUGUUUUCCACAUUUUUCUCACCUCUCUAUAAUAGAGCCCAGAUCUGUGGAGUAAAUCAGCUGUUGUUGACUCACUCAAAAUUUCUUCCUAACUCAGCUAUGAGGAAACAAAUAUGGAAGAGUUUUCCAGCUGUAACAAAACAGAAUGUGCUACAAUACAAUGAGGAUUAAUACUUUCUAAGCCACCUUAGAAAACUUUCUUGUCUUAUUAUUUAUAUAGUAAAAUGUUAGUUUUAUGUAUGGUUAUGUUCCUGGGACUAUGUGUUAAAAUAUGGGAUUGGGAGUUGGUUCCAUAGUGUGGAUGUCCUUUGGGAAUACAUAGAAAACGAAGAGACCGGUAAAACACUGUUCAGCAGUCUGGGGUGGAAUCAGGAAAAAAACAUUUUCUUGAUUGUGCUUCAAAGCUUGGUGGUGUGAGCUAAAGAUGGCCAUUAAAGAUAACGUGUAAGUUCUAUUUCUGAGCACAGAUUCCACCCCCCCUCAUUCUUCAGACCCCUUAAGAGCUACAUUUUUUGUAAAGGACCUCCCUAUGGGCAAGGUAACUCAGCCAGGAGAAACUCCCACAGGUAACGCUCAGCUGGGAAACAGUACUAGUCUUUGGUUCCAUUUGAUGCCACUCGUUACAGUUAAUAAUGUGAAUAUUAAUGACAAAUGUGUUACUAAUGAGAAAAUGAUCUACUGUGACUUCACAGCAGAUUAAAGAGAAGGCUGCUCAACAAACAAAUCAGAUUCAAAUUUUGCAUGAAAGUGUUAUAAUAGAAUAUGCUUUUGUAUCUUAAAUCACAGCCAGAUUGUUCUCUUUGAUAUUUUAGAUGUAAAUAUCCUUAAGCACAACUGUACACCACAGGGAAUUUUCUAACACUGCACCAGUAAGAUUUCUGCCUCUCCCAUGAUAAUACUAUUUGAUAUACAACAUUAAAUUACAGUAAUCUUUUUAACUCAUAUUUCAUUCUUUACAGUUCUUCUGCUGCUGUAAAACUGAAAAAAAAAAACAAUUUUAGCAUUGAUUGCACUCUUUCUAAUAUCCUUUUAUGUGUGCCAUUUUUUACUUUAUGCCAUAGUUUUCUUUAACUACAGUAGACUAUGAUUGUUUUGGUCAUUUUCUAAAGUGCUGUUUCUCACCUAAUAUUUUUCUUAAACCUUUGGGACUGCUAUUUUCCGCUCUACCAUUUCAUCAAGUUGCACCUGCUGUUCCAUUGAGAGCUCCAGUAGAGGGGCCAGUUUACUGCAGCUUGGACUUAAAAUUCUUCAUAACUGGUGAAGACUCUAAGCUGGAAAAGAGUCCAUCAGCACAGUCUUGGACAGAUCAUAAAGAAAAAAGAAUGAAAAAAUGUGGCCAACAAGAGGAGCUGUAACAGUGGUUAGAUUAUUAUAAACAUUAUAGAUGGAGAAGAACGGACAGGAUUGGAGGGGGCAGAAGAUGGAAUGACUGGGGCUGAAGACAUACUGUACCAGACAGAAUGCAUAUACUUCAUGGAAUAAACCUUUACCUGUUCCUAAUUCAGGAAUAACAAUGGGUGAUCCUCUGUGGUUGGGGGAGGAAGGAGAUUACCACCAGAGCAGAGUUUCAGGGACAUGUGGAAGGGCACAUGGUUGAAAAUGGCGUUGUUUUUUCCAUGUUAUGUUGUAAUUCUGUAUUGUCUUUGUCUCUAAAAUUAGAAUGUGUUGGCUGACUUCUUGACAGCAUCUUAAUCCAUUGUUGAUGUGCAUUUCAUCCCUGGCUUUUUAUCCAAAAAGCUGAUUUUCUUAUCUCCAGUCAGAUUUCAGGCCUUUCUCUUUUGUGCAGUUCUCUACAGUUUAAUUUAGACACUUGUUAUCUGGGUUGUGCAGUUGUCUGUUGGAUACAUCUCUCACUGCCACUGGAGUAUCAGGAUGAUCUUUCCUUCUUGCUGCAGGGAAGCUCAAUUCAAAUGAUUCAAAUGUUAUUUUGGUCUGCUGGUAUUUUCCGCUGAUACUAUUUUACAAAAAGAAAAUAAAACCAAAAUCUGAUCUUAAUGUACUUAUCAAACUAGAACCCUUUGGGAACAGCUUAUUUUGAAAAUAAAUGAAUAAGAAAGGUUUGAUGUUGAAACAGCUGAUUUAUUGAGUUCUCCUUACACACAUUGCUGUUUUUUAACACAUAUAUAGAAGAUUCCAACAUAUUAAUCUUCAAACACAUACAGUAUGCAGGUAAAAUAUGUGUUGUAUGGUUAACAUUUAAGAUUCAAUGUAUAAAAAUAUCCACAGCAACUAUAAAGCAAAUAUGAAACUGGCAGGACAUAAAAUUUUAUAAAUACUUUUAAGCAAGCCUAACACUUUCCAUCCCAAAGGCAUGAUCUUUAGAUAUAAAAGGCAACCAUUUCUUCCACCACUGGCACGUACAAAGUGAGACAAAUUUAAUAAUCCAUUUAAUUAAUGGCAAGCAAGUUGCCAUUACUACAUAAAUUCUGUAUUUAUAUAUUUGUGGGGAGUUCCUAUUCUAUUAUUAAUUAAAAUGUACCAGAAACAAACAGUUUUGGUGCUUUUUAUUUUCAUAGUUACUACUAUAUACUGUAUACAAUAUACCUUAAGGAGAUGUCCCCAGAUCAUACAGUUACUGUCUUUUGUCUUAGAUUUUGUUCCACUAUCAGUAGUAGUACAUGCAGACACAAAAAUACAUAACUCAUUUAUAUAUAACUCUUUUUAUGCCAUCUUCUAAAUUGAUGAAAUACUGUAAACUCAUUUCCUUUAUUUUUCACUUAAACUGAAAGUUGGUUUAGGUCAGACAUGUUAAUCUUGAUACUAGUCAUUUUUCAUAAGCUUAUCUUGUGAUUGGCCCAGAUAUUGGACUGCAUACUGUAUCUAUUUCUGAUCUCCCACUUCAGAUUAAAUGUGUUUGGAGGACAGAUCAUAACAAACAGCAGGACACACCAUGAAAACAGAAAUGAUUGAGUGAAAAAAAAUAUUAGCUUGAGUCUGAGCUCGUAGUUACGCAAUGCUUUAAAAAUAAAACACUAAUGCAACCAUCUAAAACUGAUGAUUACGGUACUGAUAUGAGCUUCGUGCAGUUCACUGUACAACAAGCAGCAGAGUUCAUUGCUAGUGACUCAGAAAUCGGAUUGCAAAUACAGGAUAAACUACAGAUUAUGAUGAUGUUCUAACCAGAUGGAAUUAUGCAGUAUGAGUUCCUAAAGAGUUACGCACAGCACAGCCAAUUGACCAGUGAAGGAUUACUCAUCCCGAUAAAAAUAGGAUACUGGUGCUGCACAGCAUUGCUCAAUUAUGAAAUAUUCAUUGAACAAUCGAUUGAUGGCACUGGAUGUUAAAUUUGAAACGUGUGAAAAGACUGUUGUAGUAUUACUCAUCAUUAUUUCAAGAUGCUAUUUCCCUACAUCUGGAAGGAAGCAUUCAGGUAAAGCAGGGAACAAUUCUGAGCCUUCUUUGAAUGUGCCUUGAAUAUCACCGAUAUCAGCAUCUUGAUCUAUAAAGGUCGAUGUAAGGAACCUAAUCCUCUUGUAAGUUGGAUUCAGCAUUUAACCAGAAAUAAAAAAUCAUGCUGUCCAUAAAAAAUGGUGUGGACUUCAAAAUAGUUAAAUAUUCUGCUCAUGAUGUGUUUUAUUUGUAUUAAACAUAUUUCUGAUUCAUAAGAUACUGGCUUUUUAACAUGUUUACAUUGGCAUAAAUCAAGCAUUACACUCCAAAAUAUGUGAAGUGCAUUUUAAAAUAAACUAGGUAUACUUUAUUUGCAGACAUUUGGAGAAAACUGAAUGAUAUUAUAAAAUAAAUCAAAUAUAUUAUAACAUUGUUAGAUUUAAUUAACCAAUGUGCCUGAAAACUGUUCAAAAUACAUGGUAAAAUAUAUUUUUACCCAUUUUUAAAAUAUUACAAGAUAUUCAUUUUACUGUUUCUAGAUUUAAAUAUCUUGGAUGAGUGGAACACAACACAUAGACAUAAACAAUCGAAAACAUAUUGUUUUUAUAUAUUGAGAAUCUGAUCACUAAUAAAUAAAACAAAAUAUACUUGCAACAAAAACUCAGAUUUGAAAAUAAGACACUGAAGGAUAGUGAAAUUUGCAAUGAAAGGUAUUAUAACAUGGAACUCUACGAUCAGAAAUGUAAUUGCAAAGUACAGCUUUGUGCAAAGCUAUUGUAGUCUGCAAAAACUACUGCUGAUUCUUUUAAAUUAAUCUUCUCCUGUGUGAACCAACCAUAAAUACUAAACUCAGCCUAAUUAUUUUUGCAACCUCAACACAUACUUGACUGAGAACUGAGCAGUACAUUCUGCUGUAUGGAAACAUUAUGGUCAUAUGGUCAACUUUAAUAACUAAUGUGAAUCAAAUCAGAAUUUAAAAUAUAUAUUAUAUUUGUGUGCUACAGUAAUCUGUGUUUCAGUAGGGUGCCUUUAAGCUUACUGUGUUAAUGAUGAAGCAUGGAACGCCAAAUAUGGUUUCAUAAUUCAGCUUAUUAUAUUACAUAAUCUUAAAAUGAUCCUUCUAAGCAGAACUAAAAAAUGGAAUAAGAAAUUAUAUAAGACAUUCAAUACUGUUCUCAGUGAGAUCCCUAAUUGACUGGAAACGUGACGUUUUGAAACAGUAUCCUGAAGAGAGAGAAAUUAAAAAUUCUUUAUAUUCCAUUGCCAAAUUGUGAUUGAUUUAUUUAGCUAGCCAGUCAUGGAAUGAUCAAUUAGACAUUGAUGUGCUAAAGCAAGCAAGAUGGCCAAAAUCUGAAACAACUGCUUUAAUGUGAAAAUAUCUCACUUGCCAGGGUACCAGAUGGAGUGGGCCCUGGAACAUAAUCAGACAAAUUAGAUUCCUUCUCAGACACGCCUAUCCUAUUUACCAAACAAUGACCAGGCAGAAACAAGAGCACAAAUUUAAAAGAAUACAAAAUAGAACUGCACAGUUCAUUUAAAGAAAUAUGUUGAAAAAAAAAAUUCUGUCAAUUUGCAGUGGCAUUUGGUAUACUGUACAUAUUUAUGGGAUAGAAUAAAGAAACUUACUUUCCUUUGCUACCGUAUUUUUAUUGUUGAUUAUAUAAAGGUGUGUGGUUUAAGCCUACAACACAGAUUUUGCUUCAUUAACAAAAGCAGACACCAAUUUAGUAUUUUUUAUUUCCUAAGCUCUAAGGCAUAUCUCACCAACAUACAAUACAAGAAGCUAAGCAAUAUAACCCAAGUAGGCAUUUUAAAAAUUACACCUUAAUGCUCAUCAUUUGGAACUGGUUUCAGCCAUACUCAAGAGACACAGAGGAAAAAAUCUACACAAUAAGCACAUCUGCAGCUUCCUCAGUGUAACUGCCUUAAAAGCUCAUCACCACUGAUUUAUACUGUAUGUAGGUAAUGGGACCACCUAUUCAAGCUUCCACAAGCAUGCCUCUGCAUACUCAUAUACUGUAUUAAGGUCCAAACCUAACACACAAAAAUACCUGAUAAUUGUAAAUGUAAUAGGUUGUAUGAGCCUUGAACCUUCGUACAGUUUAGUGAAGGAUCCUGUUGCAGUUAUAUUAUGUCUAUGACAUACAGUAAUGCUUUGUUUAUCAAUUUUUACAUUUGGCUUUAAUACUGUAACUUCAGUCAAAUUAAAAAAAGAAUUGUCCGUAGCAGACUCAUCACACAGUAGUUCAUGUAAUAAGUAUUAUACAUUAGUGUAAUAAGUAUAAUGCUGUUAAUCUGUGUUCUCUUUGUCAUUUUCUGGCUACCUUCAUAAUCUUGAAAGAGAACAAUGACACCAUUCAUGCUUUUAAAAAUGGCAUGUAAAUUUACAGAGUAGUGACUUUAAAAACCUAAAAUAGAACAAAGGUUGACCUACUUUAUAAAUAAGAUUGCUGCUGAUACAGCACUUCUCCCUAGCCUAGGGUUACAGUAACUUCCAGUUGCAAGUAAGUACUGUUUCUAUGGUAUCUUCAACCUUUUGCUGACAACCUUUAUAAAGAUACAUAGUCCAAUAAAAAACAGGAUUUCCUUUUGAGAUCUUCUUUAACAUAAUUUUGUUCUCUGCAUCUCAUAAAAUGUAUUGAAAAUCUCCUUGGAACUUUUCACAGUCCUAAAUUAAAUUGGAACAACCUUUCAUAGAUGACCAUUUUGGCUUUUUUAUGGGAACCCUAAUGAAAUGCAGCUCCGCACACAGAGGUUAACUACAAAUGAUUACUCCAAGGUACAAAAGCAAACUUGCCAAGAACAUCAAUGAACACAAAAGAAAAACAAAAGAACGGAAACACUACUCCAUCUGAAUCACAACUUCAGAUUUGGGUAACAAUACUGUGUCACCAUGGAUACAGAAAGAAGAUGAUAAAAUAUCUAGACUGCAGAGGACUUGCCCAUGUAGAUAAAAACAGAAGGACCUCUAAGAAAAUGGACACCAAACAGCAGAAUACAGACAAUAGAGUACAGAAGGAAAACAUAAUCCCAACUUUUAAAGUCCUUAGAAUACAUAACAAAUCUACACAAUAUUACCACGUCAAGAUAGCAGUUUUACAGAAGCAUAACCCUGUUGCUUAUUCAAGCGUUAUGCAACACAUGAUGGCAUU